rnacentral:rRNA from 1 species
AAUGAACGCUGGCGGCGCGCCUAAUACAUGCAAGUCGAGCGAGAAGACGUAGCAAUACGUUUGUAAAGCGGCGAACGGGUGAGGAAUACAUGGGUAACCUACCCUCGAGUGGGGAAUAACUAGCCGAAAGGUUAGCUAAUACCGCGUACGCUCCUUGGACUUCGGUUCAGGGAGGAAAGCGAUACCGUGGGUAUCGCGCUCUUGGUUGGGCUCAUGUCCUAUCAGCUUGUUGGGAGGUAACGGCUCACCAAGGCUUCGACGGGUAGCUGGUCUGAGAGGACGAUCAGUCACACUGGCACUGCGACACGGGCCAGACUCCUACGGGAGGCAGCAGUAAGGAAUAUUGCGCAAUGGGCGAAAGCCUGACGCAGCGACGCCGCGUGGGGGAGUGAA